rnacentral:rRNA from 1 species
UACGUAGGGGGCUAGCGUUGUCCGGAUUUAUUGGGCGUAAAGAGCGUGUAGGCGGCCAGGUAGGUCUGGUGUGAAAACUCGAGGCUUAACCUCGAGAUGUCAUCGGAAACCAUCUGGCUAGAGUCCGGAAGAGGAGAGUGGAAUUCCUGGUGUAGCAGUUGAAAUGCGCAGAUAUCAGGAAGAACACCGAUGGCGAAGGCAGUUCUCUGGGACGGUACUGACGCUGAGACGCGAAAGCGUGGGGAGCGAACAGG